GGGUUGGAGAAUCGAUCGCUGCGAGGCAGGUGAAGGAGCACUCCCGUGGCCCGGCUGCCCUGAAGGAGGAGGUGGGGUUCACCUGGAUGCUGCCGACUAGGAAGGGAUAUGUGGGUGGGAGUUUAUCCAACUCCUAUUUCCUUUCGCUGUGGCCGGCCCUGAAAGCUGAAUCCGAACUUGAAUUCUGUGUAGCUGAUUGCAGAGCUGCCAGGCGCAGUCUUGAUGCCCUGAGGACUGGGAUCUGUGACCCUGGUGGACAGAGGUUGACUGUACCCAGAGGUUGACCAUACCCUGAGGUGAACUUUCUCACCAAGGGCACCUGUUGCAGAGGCUGGAAGUGAAAUA